UACGUAGGGUGCAAGCGUUGUCCGGAAUUAUUGGGCGUAAAGAGCUCGUAGGCGGUUUGUCACGUCUGCUGUGAAAACUCGGGGCUUAACCCCGGGCCUGCAGUGGGUACGGGCAGACUAGAGGUAGGCAGGGGAGAGCGGAACUCCUGGUGUAGCGGUGGAAUGCGCAGAUAUCAGGAAGAACACCGGUGGCGAAGGCGGCUCUCUGGGCCUUACCUGACGCUGAGGAGCGAAAGCGUGGGUAGCGAACAGG
rnacentral:rRNA from 1 species